GGUCCAUUGGAGUCAACGGAGUUGUCGCAACUCUCUCUCUCUAUGGCUCUGGGCAAGGCAUUCCUCCUGGAACUAACGCGGGUUAUCAGUCACAAAUAAUGCAUAUAAUGUCAUCAACUCUGAGUCUCACAGAAGAAAGAAAAUAACUGGUUGAGGGUGAGCAUAACAUGAGGGUCAUUUAUUAAAACUUUCAUUACGAGGAGCCGUGGAAACCAAGGAGAAUCCCGCAAGAAAGUCUCAUAGCUCAGGCAGUGCUUGACCGCAGUAGAAACGUUACCCAUCCGGCUAGCACGAUCGGCCAGCCCGGUGCUCUUCCCAGAUGGCACCUGUG